CUAGUAAUCGCGGAUCAGCAUGCCGGCGGUGAAUACGUUCUCGGGCCUUGUACACACCGCCCGUCACACCAUGGGAGUCGGUAACACCCGAAGUCUGUAGCCUGACGCAAGAGGGCGCAGCCGAAGGUGGGAUUGAUGACUGGGGUGAAGUCGUAACAAGGUAGC
rnacentral:rRNA from 1 species